GAUGAACGCUGGCGGCGUGCCUAAUACAUGCAAGUCGAGCGAACAGACGAGGAGCUUGCUCCUCUGACGUUAGCGGCGGACGGGUGAGUAACACGUGGAUAACCUACCUAUAAGACUGGGAUAACUUCGGGAAACCGGAGCUAAUACCGGAUAAUAUAUUGAACCGCAUGGUUCAAUAGUGAAAGACGGUUUUGCUGUCACUUAUAGAUGGAUCCGCGCCGCACUAGCUAGUUGGUAAGGUAACGGCUUACCAAGGCAACGAUGCGUAGCCGACCUGAGAGGGUGAUCGGCCACACUGGAACUGAGACACGGUCCAGACUCCUACGGGAGGCAGCAGUAGGGAAUCUUCCGCAAUGGGCGAAAGCCUGACGGAGCAACGCCGCGUGAGUGAUGAAGGUCUUCGGAUCGUAAAACUCUGUUAUUAGGGAAGAACAAAUGUGUAAGUAACAAUGCACGUCUUGACGGUACCUAAUCAGAAAGCCACGGCUAACUACGUG
rnacentral:rRNA from 1 species